CCAGAACCAUUGUUGGCAUCCGUAUUUUGUUGCUGGAUGGACAUUUUGGCUCCUGAAUAUGAAACCCAGUUGACAAAAUGCUGCUCCAAUUAUAAUGUAACCAUGUUUCUUCCUUCUUUUCUGCAAUUUAAGAAAUUGCAGCAAUGCAUGCCGAGUUGUGGAUUGAUGAAACUAAUUUACAUUUGGGACAAAAAAGAUUUGUGUGUAUAUAUAUACAUGUGAAGAAUGUGUGUACGUAUAAUAUAUGUUUUGUUGUAACAGAAACAAAAAACAACAAUAACUACUUAAGAUUCUCAGUUGGGUGGGAUCAGAUAACCAGAAUCCAGAACAAGGCGAAUUGGGUGAUUGUUUAAUUUCCCCCCCUUUUUUUCUUUUUCUUGAU